UCUUGGCUCAACUUUGUGAGAACCUAGUAAAUUCUAAGAAAGUAUAAUGGACAGUGUUGAUUUCUCCAUAUAUAUUUAGUGAUUUUACAUGUAUGCACACACACACACCUUCAAUACAUAAAGUAUUUCAUUUAAAUUUACCUACUAAUGUAUGAUAUUCGCAAUGCCCUAUAGACUUUGGGAAGAAUGUUAAUCUUGUAUUGCAAAACCAUGCUCUACUUUAAAAGCAAUGCCUCCAGAUGUACAGCAUACUUAACAGGGCCAAGAAAACAUGUAACGUUGAUUCUGUUCUGAGAUACACCUUUGUUAAAAAGAAUCCCUUCAGUUUUUCCUGUCUGACUAAAAAUGAUGAAAGGCAGGGUAUCCUGAAUGCCUGUGUUAGAACAUCGAGGUAUUGGAGAUCCGUGAAGGAGCAUCAUCGUUACUAUAGAAACAAAUGCUGCCUCUGUCAUGGACAUCCAAAGGACAGACUGAAAAAUGAGGAAGGGAAAAGCAAUGGGAGGAAGAGGUGCCAUGAAAUGAGAAUAAAGAAACUACACAGGAAGGACUGAAUUAAGAAAAGAACAGCCUGAGGCAGAGUGGGGAAUCUAGACACAGAAAAUUCCCAGUGGAAAUGUAAAAAACUGGAUCACCACUUGGGGAAUCUCUAGAACACGUUCUUUGAAAAUGAGAAAGAUAGCCUGUUUAUUCACCAGAUAAAGAUUACAUGUGGUCUUUAGCAAGAAACAUGAACUCAGGAGGAUGACAGAUUUUAACCUUAAUUUGAAUGGAAGGGAAGCAUUGUAUAAGAAGGAUUAAAUAAUGUGACUUCACACUGUCUUCAUACUAGAUAAUAACUGAAAACUGAUUGGCAACAUAACAUUUAUUAUUUUCCCUGUAAUACUGUUAUUAGAACACAGGAAAGUGGUUAUCCAAAUGCCCAUGCUUUCUAAAAAAGAAACCAAACGUCUGAUGUCUGGAUAUGAGUUCAGACUAUCUUUCCACUAAGAGUAAAGACUUCUCGGUUUCAUGAAGGACAGGCUGGUGAAAGGCAAAAAGACCACCUAUAAAAUGGAUACAGAGAGAGAAGAUCGAAUCAUAAAGUCUCUAAGCCUUUGUCCAAUUAUGAGAUAUUUUUCUUUUGUUUCAAGACUUUAUUGAAGUUCUGUGAGCUACACUCAUUGUGUAAAAUUGAUAAAGGUUAAUAUUACCAUCUAAUCUGUUGAAUAUUAUUUUAUUUAAACUGAUAUACCAAAGGAAAUCAUGAGCUUUGUGUUAGCAAAAGGGAGAGAUUUUCAGUAUUCUCUUACUGCUUACAAAUAACUGUUUUAUCACACACCAGGCCUGUCAGUGGGUGGAGAGCAAGGGGAGGGAGAGCAUUAGGACAAAUACCUAAUGCAUGCGGAGGUUAAAACCUAGAUGAUGGGUUGAUAGGUGUAGCAAACCACCAUGGCACAUGUAUACCUAUGUAACAAACCUGCACAUUCUGCACAUGUAUCCCAGAACUUAAAGUAAAAUAAAAAAUAAUAAAAAGUUCUUAAUUAUCUCCAGGGAGAGAGGGACAUAAUUGUGAGGUUCAUAAAGAAGCAAAUUAAAAGUGAUCAUACUUGAUUUCCCAAAUGGAUCUUUGCUUGUUUUAGGAGCAAGGAUAAGAGGUUGCUUAUACACCUAGUUUUGCAAAAGGUUGAAUACUUUAGCCAUCUUAGCAUUUAAAUGUUGCUGAUAUUCUAUAUCCCGAGCCAGGGAAAAGAGAUUCUGACUAAGCAAGAAAAUCCGAACACUGAAAUACCUUAGUUAAAAUGAAAAGCAGGAACUACUCUGGGUUUCUUUACAAAAUGCAUUUUUUCCUCUACAAAUAAACUCAUUGGUGCUAAUCUUGUAAACAGUGGUAACUAUGGCACCUAAAUAAAAAUGGCACUUUAUUUCGUUAGCAUCAUGGAGGGUUUAUAGGAGAUUACUUUGAAAGAUACUCAGGGAGACAACUUGGGGAUUCUGUAUAACUCUCUUAAAAGAAUUCAGAAUGCUCUCAGAUGGUAGAGGAAAUUAGGCUUUUUCUGCAUGACUUCAAGUGAAUUAGGAAGAAGAAAAAAUGUAGAAGGAGAAGGAAAUUUUGUUCAAGUUUACCAAAGAGCUUCCCAACAAAUAGAGAUUAUAGUGAAAUUGGUGGCAUUUGGAAGCCCUAAAAGUUCAGCUAUGAAAUAAAGUGUAAAGCAGAGGAUUGAAAAUUGCUGUAAGGUAUACUAGAGCAGAAUUUCAGCCUUUGGUAGAAAUUAGGUAGGAUGCUAGGCAAGCUGACCUUCAAAGACCCUUCAAUGCUAAAAUUCUAUGAAAAGCAAUGAUUGAUUUGUGUCAGUUUUCUAAAAAGAAACUUUCAGUAUCUGUAUUGCAUUAAGUAUUGCAAAUCCAAAUGAAAUGCAUUAUUAUUUAAAAUUGUUGACCAUUUUAAUACAAUUCAUUGUGCUCUCUUUCACAUCCCUCUUUAGUGCAGUGAAGAACAUGCUUAUUAGUAUGGAUCCUCAUGUUCCAGAAGAGUCCUUUUUCUGAGUGGUAAAUGAAACAUGUUGGUGUCUCUGCAGCAAUCCCAAAUACAACAUAGCCUGGUAGCUGGUGGUACUGCUGGUACUGCUUGUCUCUAGCUUGACCAUAUUAUUAAAACAUUGAUCAGCAA